rnacentral:rRNA from 1 species
UUCAAGAUUCUAAGAGCAAACGGUGGAUGCCUUGGCAUCUGGAGCCGAAGAAGGACGUAUAAAUCUGCGAUAAGCCUCGGGGAGCUGAUAAUAGAGCUUUGAUCCGAGGAUCUCCGAAUGGGGAAACCCCGCCAGGCCCUUUGGGUGACCUGGUGACUCCCGCCUGAAUAUAUAGGGCGGGUAGAGGGAACGUGGGGAAGUGAAACAUCUCAGUACCCACAGGAAGAGAAAGCAAAAGCGAUUCCGUUAGUAGUGGCGAGCGAAACCGGAAGAGGCCAAACCGAUCAUGUGUGAUAUCCGGUAGGAGUUGCAUGGUCGGGGUUGCGGGACUUUCCGUACAGUUCUACCGAGCUGUGAGGGCAAUGAGCGCGAUAUAGACGAAUGGUCUUGAAAGGCCAGUCAUAGAGGGUGCGAACCCCGUAGUCGAAAUGUUGUCGCCUGUCCGGAGAGUAUCCCAAGUAGCACGGGGCCCGAGAAAUCCCGUGUGAAUCUGUCAGGACCACCUGAUAAGCCUAAAUACUCCCAGAUGACCGAUAGCGGACAAGUACCGUGAGGGAAAGGUGAAAAGUACCCCGGGAGGGGAGUGAAAUAGUACCUGAAACCGUUUGCUUACAAACCGUUGGAGCACCCUUGUUGGUGUGACAGCGUGCCUUUUGAAGAAUGAGCCUGCGAGUUAGUGAUAUGUGGCGAGGUUAACCCGUGAGGGGCAGCCGUAGCGAAAGCGAGUCUUAAUAGGGCGUAUGAGUCGCAUGUUCUAGACCCGAAGCGAAGUGAUCUAUCCAUGGCCAGGUUGAAGCGACGGUAAGACGUCGUGGAGGACCGAACCCACUUCAGUUGAAAAUGGAGGGGAUGAGCUGUGGAUAGGGGUGAAAGGCCAAUCAAACUUCGUGAUAGCUGGUUCUCUCCGAAAUGCAUUUAGGUGCAGCGUUGCGUGUUUCUUGCCGGAGGUAGAGCUACUGGAUGGACGAUGGGCCCCAAAAGGUUACUGACUUCAGCCAAACUCCGAAUGCCGGUAAGUGAGAGCGCAGCAGUGAGACGGUGGGGGAUAAGCUUCAUCGUCGAGAGGGAAACAACCCAGACCACCAUCUAAGGUCCCUAAGCGCGUGCUAAGUGGGAAAGGAUGUGGAGUUGCAUAGACAACCAGGAGGUUGGCUUAGAAGCAGCCACCCUUGAAAGAGUGCGUAAUAGCUCACUGGUCAAGUGAUUCCGCGCCGACAAUGUAACGGGGCUCAAGCACGCCACCGAAGUUGUGGCAUUUAUAUUAUAGGCAGGCCUUCGUGGUCCAGCCGUAUGGAUGGGUAGGAGAGCGUCGUGUGGCCAGCGAAGCGGCGGUGUGAACCAGCCGUGGAGGCCACACGAGUGAGAAUGCAGGCAUGAGUAGCGAAAGACGGGUGAGAAACCCGUCCUCCGAAAGACCAAGGGUUCCAGGGCCAGGCUAAUCCGCCCUGGGUAAGUCGGGACCUAAGGCGAGGCCGACAGGCGUAGUCGAUGGACAACGGGUUGAUAUUCCCGUACCGAUGAAGAACCGCUCAAGACAAUCCAGUAAUGCUAAGUGUCUGAAUCCUUGAUCCGAUCCCUUCGGGGUGACGGUCUUGGCCUAGCACACGACCCUACGCUGGGGCGUUUAGCGUAUUAACAGGUGUGACGCAGGAAGGUAGCUGAGCCGGGCGAUGGUUGUCCCGGUCUAAGGAUGUAGGGCAGAAGAUAGGCAAAUCCGUCUUCUAUGUAGCCUGAGACCCGAUGGGUAGUCCUCACGGACGAAAUCAGUGAUCCUAUGCUGCCGAGAAAAGCAUCGACGCGAGGUUCCAAUCGCCCGUACCCCAAACCGACUCAGGUGGUCAGGUAGAGAAUACUAAGGAGAUCGAGAGAAUCGUGGUUAAGGAACUCGGCAAAAUGCCCCCGUAACUUCGGGAGAAGGGGGGCCUGAGGCGUGUAGGGAUUUACUCCUGAAGCGUUUGAAGGCCGCAGAGACCAGUGGGAAGCGACUGUUUACUAAAAACACAGGUCCGUGCUAAGUCGCAAGACGAUGUAUACGGACUGACGCCUGCCCGGUGCUGGAAGGUUAAGAGGAACGGUUAGCACGCAAGUGCGAAGCUGAGAAUUUAAGCCCCAGUAAACGGCGGUGGUAACUAUAACCAUCCUAAGGUAGCGAAAUUCCUUGUCGGGUAAGUUCCGACCUGCACGAAUGGCGUAACGACUUCCCAGCUGUCUCAACCGCGAACUCGGCGAAAUUGCACUACGAGUAAAGAUGCUCGUUACGCGCAGCAGGACGGAAAGACCCCGUGACCUUUACUACAGCUUGGUAUUGGUGUUCGGUGUGGCUUGUGUAGGAUAGGUGGGAGACUGUGAAGCUCGGACGCUAGUUCGGGUGGAGUCAUUGUUGAAAUACCACUCUGGUCACUCUGGAUAUCUAACUUCGAACCGUAAUCCGGUUCAGGGACAGUGCCUGGUGGGUAGUUUAACUGGGGCGGUUGCCUCCUAAAGAGUAACGGAGGCGCCCAAAGGUUCCCUCAACCUGGUUGGUAAUCAGGUGUCGAGUGUAAGUGCACAAGGGAGCUUGACUGUGAGACUGACAAGUCGAGCAGGGACGAAAGUCGGGACUAGUGAUCCGGCAGUGGCUUGUGGAAGCGCUGUCGCUCAACGGAUAAAAGGUACCUCGGGGAUAACAGGCUGAUCUUGCCCAAGAGUCCAUAUCGACGGCAUGGUUUGGCACCUCGAUGUCGGCUCGUCGCAUCCUGGGGCUGGAGUAGGUCCCAAGGGUUGGGCUGUUCGCCCAUUAAAGCGGUACGCGAGCUGGGUUUAGAACGUCGUGAGACAGUUCGGUCCCUAUCCGCUGCGCGCGUAGGAAAUUUGAGAAGAUCUAUCCCUAGUACGAGAGGACCGGGAUGGACGAACCUCUGGUGUGUCAGUUGUUCCGCCAGGAGCACCGCUGAUUAGCUACGUUCGGAACGGAUAACCGCUGAAAGCAUCUAAGCGGGAAGCCGGCUUCGAGAUGAGAUUUCCAUCCCUUUUAGGGUGAAGGCUCCCGGCUAGACUACCGGGUUGAUAGGCAGGAUGUGGAAGCGAGGACUAAAGACUCGUGGAGCUGACCUGUACUAAUAAGCCGAUAUCUUGAAAACAC